CCAUCGUUGAUGUUUAUGAGCCGUUCAAAAGAAUCGGUUCGUUCGCGAACGUCACAACCAAACUGUGAAGAAGAUGAGCAAGUGGUCAAAACGCAAGCAGUGUUCUGCAAUAAAUUGCAAAAAUUACCAAUCCACCAGAAGCGAUUUGGCAUUUCAUCGAUUUCCAAAGGAUGCACAAAGGUGUGCCAGGUGGGUCCAAAAUCUAAGGAAUGCAUCCCUUCAUGUCAUACCUUUGGAUCAGCUGCAUCGGACCUACAGGGUGUGCAGUGCCCAUUUCCACAGCAGCCAGUUCAAAAGACCAUCUGAUGUCCAUGGUGGGCUGAAAUGGGAUGCUGUGCCCACAAAAAUAGAGGCCCCUAACCCACCUCCCCCACUAGAUGUCGAGAGGAAGCGUAAACCUCUGAAGACACGCCAGGAGUUGCCACGUAAAAAACGCAAGCAGAGUCAUGUUCCUCCUCCCUCCAAAGACCAGCACACGGGGGAAGCUGUAGCGGGGCCUUCAUCAUGGGCGCAGUGCACUGAGGAAGCUGUAGCGGGGCCUUCAACAAUGGAAGAGGGAGACAUCAGGAUAAAGCUUUCUUCCUGUCCCUGUGGCACGCAAGUCCAAAAUGUUAUCGGCUUCUCUGCAGAGUGUUUUCUAUGCCCUCUGUCUGCACUUUGCAAAAAACCAUCCAGGCUGUUGACUUCAAAACUGGUUUCAAUAACACUGUUUUAGCCACCAUGAAGUAGGCCAUGGAGACCACCAAGCCCAUCGAGAAGCUGUGUGCCAUCAUCACAGACGAGAUGUCAUUAAAAGAAGCAUUGCACUAUGACAAAGCUGCUGACAGGGUUGAGGGCUUUGAGGACUUCGGCAGAGGUCAGCGCACCCCUUAUGUGGCCAACUACGCCUCUGCUUUUAUGGUAAGAGGCCUGUUCACAAAGUGGAAGCAGCUCUUUGGCUACUGUUUUACUAGUGGGCCCAUACCACACACGCGACUCCAUUCGAUGCUUGUUGAUGGAAUCCGCGAGCUGAGGAAAGCAGGAAUGGAGUGCUUGGUGUUUAUAUGUGACCAGGAUGCUGGGAACCGUGCCAUGCUUAAUCGCCUUGGAGUGACCAAGGAACAGCCAUUCUUCAGUGUUGAUGGCAUCAGAGUGUUUUGCCUUUGGGAUCCACCUCACCUCAUAAAAAACAUCCGGAACAAUUGGCGUGACGUCAUCCAGUGUCCUUCCUCUUAACAAAUCGUCUUAAUCAAGACUGCCUGGAAAAGGCCUACUCAAGUAUCAGAGCCCGUGCGGGCAAUCGUGACAACCCAGACUCCGUUCAGUUUGAAUGUGAAUACCGAGCUGUGGCCACAGGACUGAUGUUCAGCAACUCCGAAAAGACCAGUUGUGAACAAGAUCUUGACAUGUUUCUGUUGCAGCUCAGUGCAUAUGCCUCUCAAGAGAGUCCCCUGGUCAAUGUUGACCCUGAGAGCAUUAUGGAAGAACAUGGCUACUGUAGAGUGGCCACUGAUUGUGAGCAGUGAUGCUGUCCUGAGGUCUGACAUCGGCCCACCUGAAGUUGUCCUGGAUCUACUGACUAAGCCUUCAGCACGAUCAUCUCCAGUCUUUGACCAUGAUGAAUAUGUGUUGGUCUACAUCGCUGGAUACAUCGCUGACAAGGUUCUGGGAAAAUGUACUGAUCCUGAAGGUCCCUGUAAGGAGUGCACAAUUCUUAGCACACGUGUUCCUACUGAUAGUAGAUAUACUUUCCUUAAAGACAAACAGUACACUGACCUCGUCUUAGGAGAGAAGGGUCUGAAAGUGCCCAGCACUGCCCUGGUGGACUUAUUCACAGCCCUGGAGUCUAUCUUCCAGAAAUACAUCAGCAGUGUUAUUCACAGUGUUGGCCUGGGAGAGAAAUUAUUUACUAGCAGCAUGGAGGCUGUCAGUGAGUGCCGGGAAGUAGUGCGUAGCAGGGAAGAGUGCAAGAAAUCACUUGUGUACAUGGUGAAAUUAUUUAACAGGAUAAGAAUUCAUCAUGUAUUGCGCACCCAAAAACGGUGCAUCUCUCAGCCUAAUCAGAAACGCGACAGAAAAUUCUUAAAGUUAACUCAUCAGUAAAUUAUUGGCUCCUCACAGACUCUUUAAUGUCAAAAUCAUCCUUUUCCACGUCUACUCCUUUCGUGUUACAUUAACACUUCCAUUCUAUGUCAAUGCCUCUUCUCUCACAAAAAGAAAAAAAAAAUGCAAACAAACUUCUCAUACUCAAAUGCACACACAAAAGAUGGUGGUGUCUGAUUAAUUACCGAGAUGUUAUGGCACCACUUCCAUUUUAGUACUGUUUAUAGUUCAUGUGUGCACUUGCUAGAUUGCACAUCUUUUUUUUUUUUUUUUUUUUUACCUUUCCAUCUGUAAUAGGACAUUGUUUUUGUUCUUGCCAUUGAAACGUUCACUGUGUGCACUUUCACUAAGAUGUUGAAAAACAAGUUAAUAUUUUUGUGAAAUUCUAGGUAAAAGAUGAACUGUCUUUAGAAAUGCUCAUUUAUAAUUUUAUUUAUUUAUUUUUCCAAAUCAUAUAUAUGGUGAUGUUCACUAAUGUCGAAAUCAACAUUUGAAUAAAUCUUAUUACUGUG